UGGGGAAUAUUGGACAAUGGGGGAAACCCUGAUCCAGCGAUGCCGCGUGAGUGAUGAAGGCCUUCGGGUUGUAAAGCUCUUUCAGUGGGGAGGAUAAUGACGUUACCCACAGAAGAAGGACCGGCUAACUUCUUGCCAGCAGCCGCGUUAAUACGAAGGGUCCUAGCGUUGUCCGGAAUUACUGGGCUUAAAGGUUGCGUAGGCGGUUUAUUAUGUCUGGUGUGAAAUCUCCAAGCUCAACUUGGUACCUGCAUUUGAUACUGGUAAGCUAGAGAUCAGAAGAGGUGAGAGGAAUUCCUAGGGUAGAGGUGAAAUUCGAAGAAAUUAGGAAGAACACCAGCGGCGAAGGCGGCUCACUGGUCCGAUGCUGAAGGUAAGGCACGAAAGCGUGGGGAGCAAACA
rnacentral:rRNA from 1 species